AUUGAACGCUGGCGGCAUGCUUUACACAUGCAAGUCGAACGGCAGCGCGGGCUUCGGCCUGGCGGCGAGUGGCGAACGGGUGAGUAAUACAUCGGAACGUGCCCAGUAGUGGGGGAUAGCUCGGCGAAAGCCGGAUUAAUACCGCAUACGACCUGAGGGUGAAAGCGGGGGAUCUUCGGACCUCGCGCUAUUGGAGCGGCCGAUGGCAGAUUAGCUAGUUGGUGGGGUAAAGGCCUACCAAGGCGACGAUCUGUAGCUGGUCUGAGAGGACGACCAGCCACACUGGGACUGAGACACGGCCCAGACUCCUACGGGAGGCUGCAGUGGGGAAUUUUGGACAAUGGGCGAAAGCCUGAUCCAGCAAUGCCGCGUGUGUGAUGAAGGCCUUCGGGUUGUAAAGCACUUUUGGCGGGAACGAAAAGGACUGUGCCAAUACCACGGUUCGAUGACGGUACCCGCAGAAUAAGCACCGGCUAACUACGUG
rnacentral:rRNA from 1 species